rnacentral:rRNA from 1 species
UCUCAAGUGUGAGGUAAGGGCGUUUGGUGAAUGCCUUGGCAUGCACAGGCGAUGAAGGACGUGGCACGCUGCGAUAAGCGUCGGUGAGGUGUGAGCAACCUUUGACCCGACGAUCUCCGAAUGGGGCAACCCAGCUUCUCCAUUAAAUCUCGUUUCACUGGAAACAGUGAGCCGGGGUUUAGUGGGGCGGUUAUCUCUGAAAUGAAUACAUAGUUUUGGAGAAGCGAACCCAGGGAACUGAAACAUCUCAGUACCUGGAGGAAAGGACAUCAACCGAGACUCCGUUAGUAGUGGCGAGCGAACGCGGACCAGGCCAAUGGCUUAGAGUGAACCAGCAGAAGCUUCUGGAAAGUAGCGCCAUAGCGGGUGAUAGCCCCGUAUGCGAAAGUGAACUCAAAGUCUUCGAGUAGGGCGGGACACGUGUAAUCCUGUCUGAACAUGGGGGGACCACCCUCCAAGCCUAAGUACUCGUGCAUGACCGAUAGUGAACUAGUACCGUGAGGGAAAGGUGAAAAGCACCCCGAUUAGGGGAGUGAAACAGUACCUGAAACCGAACGCCUACAAUCAGUAGGAGCCCCCUUGUGGGGUGACUGCGUACCUCUUGUAUAAUGGGUCAGUGACUUAAUGUAUCUGGCAAGCUUAAGCCGUUAGGUGGAGGCGUAGCGAAAGCGAGUCUGAAUAGGGCGAUUUAGUCAGAUGCAUUAGACCCGAACCCCGGCGAUCUAGGCAUGGCCAGGUUGAAGGUGCGGUAACACGCACUGGAGGACCGAACCGGUGAAUGUUGAAAAAUUCUCGGAUGAGCUGUGUUUAGGGGUGAAAGGCCAAUCAAGCCGGGAAAUAGCUGGUUCUCCGCGAAAACUAUUGAGGUAGUGCCUCGUAUGUUUACCGUUGGGGGUAGAGCACUGGAUGGAUGCGGGGGUCGCGAGACCUACCAACUCUAACCAAACUCCGAAUACCAACGAGUAUAGUACGGGAGACAGACGGCGGGUGCUAAGGUCCGUCGUCGAGAGGGAAACAGCCCUGACCAACAGCUAAGGUCCCCAAAUCGUAUCUAAGUGGGAAAGCAUGUGGGAUUUCCAAAACAACCAGGAAGUUGGCUUAGAAGCAGCCAUCUUUUAAAGAAAGCGUAACAGCUCACUGGUCUAAAUAAGAGAUCCUGCGGCGAAGAUGUAACGGGGCUCAAGAUACGUACCGAAGCUUUGGGUUUGGCGUAAGCCAAGCGGUAGCGGAGCGUUCUGUAAGUCUGCGAAGCGGUCUGGUAAUGGGCCGUGGAGAUAUCAGAAGUGCGAAUGCUGACAUGAGUAGCGACAAACAGUGUGAGAUGCACUGUCGCCGAAAGCCUAAGGGUUCCUGCGCAAGGCUAAUCCGCGCAGGGUGAGUCGGAGCCUAAGACGAGGCCGAAGGGCGUAGUCGAUGGUAACACGGUUAAUAUUCCGUGACCCGGGAGUGUGUGACGGAUCGCGUAAGUUGUCAGACCUUAUUGGAUUGGUCUGGCCUCGAAGCGGUUCCAGGAAAUAGCCCUCCCAUUAUGGUCCGUACCCGAAACCGACACAGGUAGGCUGGUAGAGUAUACCAAGGCGCUUGAGAGAAGGAUGUUGAAGGAACUCGGCAAAUUACCUCCGUAACUUCGGGAGAAGGAGGCCCUGUUCGCGGGCAACCGUGGGCAGGGGGCACAAGCCAGGGGGUAGCGACUGUUUAGCAAAAACACAGGGCUCUGCUAAGUCGGCUUCAAGACGACGUAUAGGGUCUGACGCCUGCCCGGUGCUGGAAGGUUAAGAGGAGAUGUGCAAGCAUUGAAUUGAAGCCCCAGUAAACGGCGGCCGUAACUAUAACGGUCCUAAGGUAGCGAAAUUCCUUGUCGGGUAAGUUCCGACCUGCACGAAUGGCGUAACGACUUCCCCACUGUCUCCAGCACAUCCUCAGUGAAAUUGAAUUCCCCGUGAAGAUGCGGGGUUCCUGCGGUUAGACGGAAAGACCCCGUGCACCUUUACUGCAGCUUUGCACUGGCAAUCGUGUUUACAUGUGUAGAAUAGCUGGUAGGCUUUGAAGCAGGGGCGUCAGCUCUUGUGGAGCCGCAAUGUGAAAUACCAGCCUUGCGAAUAUGGUUGUCUAACCGCGGACCGUAAGCCGGUCCCGGGACAGAGCAUGGUGGGCAGUUUGACUGGGGCGGUCGCCUCCUAAAUUGUAACGGAGGCGUGCGAAGGUGGGCUCAGGUUGGUCGGAAAUCAACCGUCGAGUGCAAUGGCAUAAGCCCGCCUGACUGCAAGACUGACAAGUCGAGCAGAGUCGAAAGACGGCCAUAGUGAUCCGGUGGUUCUGUGUGGAAGGGCCAUCGCUCAACGGAUAAAAGGUACGCCGGGGAUAACAGGCUGAUGAUUCCCAAGAGUCCAUAUCGACGGAAUCGUUUGGCACCUCGAUGUCGGCUCAUCUCAUCCUGGGGCUGGAGCAGGUCCCAAGGGUAUGGCUGUUCGCCAUUUAAAGAGGUACGUGAGCUGGGUUCAGAACGUCGCGAGACAGUUCGGUCCCUAUCUGCCGUAGGUGUCGGAGAAUUGAGAGGAUCUGUCCCUAGUACGAGAGGACCGGGAUGGACGCACCUCUGGUGGACCUGUUGUCGCGCCAGCGGCACAGCAGGGUAGCUAUGUGCGGACGGGAUAACCGCUGAAGGCAUCUAAGCGGGAAACCCACCUCGAAACUAGUUCUCCCUCGAGAGUCGUGGAAGACCACCACGUUGAUAGGCCGGGUGUGGAAGUGCGGCAACGCAUGCAGCUUACCGGUACUAAUAGCUCGAUAGGCUUGAACGC